rnacentral:rRNA from 1 species
AUUGAACGCUGGCGGCAUGCCUUACACAUGCAAGUCGAACGGCAGCACGGGGGCAACCCUGGUGGCGAGUGGCGAACGGGUGAGUAAUACAUCGGAACGUGCCCCGUAGCGGGGGACAACCAGUCGAAAGACUGGCUAAUACCGCAUACGCUCCACGGAGGAAAGCAGGGGAUCGCAAGACCUUGCACUAUGGGAGCGGCCGAUGCCCGAUUAGCUAGUUGGUGAGGUAAAGGCUCACCAAGGCAACGAUCGGUAGCUGGUCUGAGAGGACGACCAGCCACACUGGGACUGAGACACGGCCCAGACUCCUACGGGAGGCAGCAGUGGGGAAUUUUGGACAAUGGGCGCAAGCCUGAUCCAGCCAUGCCGCGUGCGGGAAGAAGGCCUGGUUGUAACG